GUGAAACACAUGGCAGCUACUGAACAAAUGCUCUGGUUGAUUGGUUAAUUCUUUUCUGCUGCUUCUUCUGAAUGUCAAGAAGUCAUAGUUUCCAGUAGGAAUCCCCUUCUGCAUAGUCCACACACUAACCAGCUUUCCUGUUUAGUUCAAGAACAAGAAGAGAACCCCAAAUUAGAUUGAAAUGAACUAAGUGGAACUAUACUUUAGACUCAGCUCAGGCAUCUCUUCCUUUUCGAUGCCCCAGAUGUUUAGCUCCCCUUGCCUCAUAUUACUUUGUUUUCACUACUUUCAUAGUUUAUAUUAUUUUUUCUGGUGACACAUGUUAACAGACAAAUUACAACAAAUGUUACAAUAUUUGUUAUUACCACCUUUGUUUCCCCUGAUUGACUAUAAGCUCUUUGAAGGCAGUGACUAUUUCAUUUUUGCCUUCGUGUCCCUAGUGCCUAUCAUAGUGCUUGGCACAUAAUAGGUGCCUAUUCAGAGCACAUUGAAUGAAUAAAUGAAUGUUUAUACCAUUUGAACUUCAGAAAAUACUCAUUGAAAAUAAUUAAAAAUAUGGCUGGUCCCUGAUUUUGCCCUGUAGAAGCCAGGAUGGCUAUUGCCUUGGGCAAAGAGGAUAAACUUAAUAAUUGGAUCAUGAUAAUGGGGAAGAGGGACACCUACAUUUUUGUAAAUCAUCAAACUAACUGUAAAGAGUAGUUGCUGGCAAACCCGGAAGUAUUUUUCCCAAAAGCUAUUUUUCUUCCCUGAGGUUAGAACCAGGAAAAAGACUUGGAGCUAUUAAAAAUUUAUAGAAAAUGGACUGAAAUCUGGGUUCACUUUCAGAAGGCACCAAUAUUCUGGAGCUUAUUAGAACAGCCCUUUUGAGGCUCUGGGUGCUGGUUUAGAGGGGCCAGCUUGUCCUGGGAGUCCAGUCACAAUGCCAUAGAAUUCACAUGGAACAAUAAAUUAAGCCCUGGUGCCAGUGAGAAUUGUUAUGAGUUAUGUGUUGGCCCUGUGUUUACAAAAUUAUCUUGAUAAGACUCCUGCUGGGCUGUGUUUGCCUGUUUCUGGGAUGUUUUUAAGUCCAAGAAAACCCUGGCUUCUUUCUUUUCUGGCUAAUAGAGGGCAUAUUUUGGACUUACGAUCUUUUUAGUGAAGUUUGGACUCCAGUGUUCUUCCAGGGGCUAUUUGUAUUGGAGGGACUGGCAAGAAUUUCCCUUUGGCCUCAGAGAAGCAGUGGACUUUCAACUCUCUUGGUCUGGUUCAUUGCACUGUUAAAAGCUACAGAGUUGGUUCCAGCUCAGACAGAAAAGUGGGUGCUCUGAUUCACUGAACAUGGGGUGACUGUUUCAGGUCAUUUCCAGAGAGAACUGCUUUAAAGGACCCAGGAAUCUGGUCACUAUAUCAAUAUUGCCUUUCUUGGUGGAAAAAAUGAAGGAUGAUGAAUCACUUCAACAAUCUAAACAAUAAGCCAGACACUGCUAUGUGGCACAGUAUGAAUGCUUGCACUGGAAAUUUAAGAACUGGCUCCUGUGAGCCAUUUUGAAUUGACUCCAUCCAUCACAAUCCAGGGGAUAACCUAGUUGAAUUCAGAAUGGCUCACUAUCAGAAGAUGGACCUCCAUCAGGAAAGGACUUUUUUUUUUUUGUCACCACUAAGGUACAUCUUCUCAAGAAGACUGUAAACUUCUUAGACUUCUGCCAAGAAAAGUUUUGGUUUAUCUUAUCUCCCUCAGUGCUAAGCCUCAUAUCAGAUAAUCAGCAAAUACUGGCUAUUUUUCAAUUUUUGUUGAGAUCUUUUGUUUUUAUAUCAUCUUCAUAUUCUGAUAUAUACCUCUGCCUUUCACAAAGCUAUCCCUUAAAACAAAGAAUAAAAAAGAGAAAGAAAAACCAAUGCACAUCUCACUGAAGUCGGAUAUUAUGUCAAGAAUCCAUAAUCAAGACCAGAUGAUGCCAUGAGUUCCUUCUGUCUAUACCAUUCUAUGGUCUGAGUUCUUGGUACUGACCAUUUUGGACUGUAAGAGCCUUAGGGACAGGAAAUUUGACUCGUGGACAUUCUGAAGAUUAGAACAAUUCUGGGUAACUUGUAUGAACUGACAAAUACUUGUGGAUUUAUUGCCUGGAAGUCCAAGGAAGGAAUUUGGUUCCUGUUGAUCCUAAUCUGGGAGAUGGCAUCCUUGAUGGAGGAUGGCUAUGUGGAGGUUGAGGCAUUUUUGUGAACAUACAGAAUUUUGAGAAUAUUAGCUAGCUGACAAGGCGAGCUUAAAACAAUGUUUUCCAAAUGUCAGCCUAGAGGUCAUCCAGGAACUUAUACCAAAUUAAAUCUCUGAUUCAGGUUGGGUUUAGAAAAUAUUCGAUGUUCUAGUUUGUUUUGAUUUAAAAAGUUUUAGGAAAUAUAUAAACUACCAACUACUGGAUUAUUUAUUUUUAUAUUUUACAAUUUUGUUUGAUUCCAAGUUCAGUAAGAAGCAGGAACUUCUACUACUUUCAUAUUUUAAUUUUUAUUGUAUUUAUCUGUACAAUUCUCAUGACUGACAAGAUGGUAAACUCUUUGAAGCAGUUAUCAUGUCUUACUUAUUUUUGUGUGUCCCCGAGCUUUGCAUAUAAUAGGCACACAAUAAAUCUUUACUGAAUGGAUGAAUAUUUGACUCCUAGGUAAGCAAAAUAACAAUGUUCAUUUGGUUUUUGAUUUAUAGUUCAACUAAAACAAUAACAGUAAUUCACAUUACUCUUGUGCUUUAAAAUUAACAAAGUGCUUUCCUUAAAAUAACUCUAUGAAAGAGAUAGUGUAAGAAUCAGUCCCGUUUUACAACUGAGAAAAACUGAGAUCAGAGAAGUGACUUUACUGUGGCUACCCAGUUAGUUAAGUGCCUCCGUUGGGACAUGAAAUUGUACUCUUACUGUAAUACCACACUCGCUCUCCGUUCCCUCAAACCCUUUGUGACUCAACCAAGAGUUUCUUGUGUCUCUUGCCUUUCUCCUGCCUAUCUGUGAUAGAGGAGAGAUGGUCAUUGGAAUGCCUGGGUGAGAAAGGAGUUAGGGAAAAUUUUAGUUGCUGCAUAGUGAAUAUAAUGAAACGAUUAAAAGGAAAGAAAUGGGGUGUACUUGUCCAGACCUGAGAUCAGAGGCAUGUGAGGUGCUUGACCAAACUUCUAGCACCAUGUUAGUGUAAGUUGUGAUGAGUUUACUCCUCCAUCCUUUCCUCUUCUUCCUCCUCCUCAUCUUAGCUCUCCUCUAUGAGUUCUUAGUGAUUAGCUGUUGUGUUUUCACUUUCUCCCUUGGAAUGAGUGGGUUCAGGUCUGGAGUUGAGAUGAAAGAGGCAAGUGACUCAGGUUCUCAUACUCUUGCCUUUGGGACCCCUGCCUCAUAAAGGGAAUAUUUUCUGGCCAUGAGGGGAAGGACCUAGAAGGUCCCUAGGCACAUGCAUGAUGAGCCUUUACCUGUAUUCAAAUGUGUAUUAUUUGAAGUUGUAAUUAAGUAAGAUAUGGUAAUUAUUUCCAGCCCAAUGGAAAGAUGCAGUACAAAUUCUAAUAAUGCGACCACUUAGUGGGACUCAUUAAUCACACUAAUAGGGAUGUAGCAUUAGAUAAUUUGAUUGCAGCCUUGGGGAAUCUGUGGAGAAGAGUUCCAGAACUCUUUCACUGACUCCUGUUUCAAAGGUAUCCAGCGCUUACUGUGUCAGUCAACGCACAUUUAUUGAGCAAGUAUAACUGAUGGCCCUCCAACUCAUCAGUGACUUAGGGGAUAUCUACCCCAAGCACGUGAAGAUGCUUCCUGAUGGAAUGGGCAGAUAAGAACAAUUUGUUCCAAUGGCCAUGAAGGAGGCACUGUGGAGCACUUAUAGCUUGAUUAAACAUGGAAGACACCAAAUUCAUCCAUUGCAUCCUGGACCAUCACCAGCCAUCUUGACUUUUGUCCUGCCCCUGGACUUGGAUGACUCUGGAACAGAAAGCGUCUGAUGGCUUUGUGCAACUCGUCCUCAGUCAAAUCCAAUUCAUGCACAGGUCAAGACAUCACCCUAUGACGUCAUUGAUCCUCUUCAAAAAUGAAAGAUGAAUGACAACAUGUGCUGGGCCAUGUACUAAAUAAACUCUGUGUGCAAAGAAAGGCAAAAAAUAAACCAUCCCUGCUCUUGAGGAGCAUAUAUUCUAAUGGGGGAGACAACAUGUAAAUAUCUAGGUACAUAAAAGUUAUAUACAGAGUACAGUUAUCCCUUUCAUAUUGUGGGGGUAGGGUAACCCCACCAUUUGGAAAAUCCAUCUAAAAUUUUUUGGUUUUUCACAUUCUUUUCACAAAUAUUAACUUUAAAAAAGUAAAUGAUGUAUAUUUAUGGUAUUAAAAGAUAAAAUUAUGUUGAUAUUAUAUAAUAAAUAUAUCUCUCAGUUUCUAAACUUUUUUUCCAUAUUAUCUGCUGGCCUUUAUGUGUUGUCUGCUGCUUCCACAAAACUCCUCCAAAAUUCUCAUUUAAUUUCUCAUGCCAACCUGUGAUAUAUUAAAACAGCAAUGGAGAAGGUGCAAUGUGGAAGGGAUGCCUAGAUAUUGAAGUUAUACGAAAUGAGAAGGCAUUUGAAGCUGGGGAUGGAGUGGGGUAGGGAGACUGGGAAAGGCCUCCUAUAAAAAUUAAGAUUUGAGUUGUGUCUUGAAGGAAGCCAGGGAAAACUAAGAAAAGCAGGUGAUAGAGGGGUGCAAUCUAGGCAUGGGGGGGGGAGGCCAGGGAAUGCAAAGACAUUGGGUGCAAAGAGACUAUAAGGGAUACCAAGUCAAAUUGUUCAUUUAUCAUGCAAUAUGGUAUAAUAUAUCAGGCUUUGUAGUGAAUAGAUCUGUGUUCAAAUCCUAGCUCUGAUGUGACCUUGGACCUGUCAUCAUACGUAAAAUGAGGAGGGCUACUCCAGAUGGCCACUGAUAUCUCUUGGAGCUCCAGAGAGUGAUCUAUGUCAUGUCCUCCUUCUGGACCAGGGAUUCUGAAUUUGGGAUUUGUGAAUUUUUUUUUAAAACUCUUACCUUCUCUCUUAGAAUCAAUAUAGUAUAUUGGUUCCAAGGUAGAAGAGCUGUUAAGGGCUAGGCAAUUCGGGUUAAAUGCCUUGACCAGGGUUACACAGCUAGGAAGGGUCAAAGGCCAAAUUUGAAUCUAGGACCUCCAGUCUGUAGUCCUGGUAAUCCAUUGAACCACCUAGUUGCCCCUGACUUUUUUUUUAAACCCAUACCUUCUGUCUUGGAAUCAAUACUGUGUAUUGAUUCCAAGGCAGAAGAGUGGUAAGGGCUAGGCAAUGGGAGUUAAGUGACUUGCCCAGGGUCACACAGCUGGGAAGUGUCUGAGGCCAGAUUUGAAUCCAGGACCUCUCAUCUCUAGGCCUGGCUCUCAAUCCACUUAGUCACCCAGCUGCCCUCCGUAUCUUCAUUUUCAUGGAACCUUGGUGGGUGCUUAGUAAAUAUGUGAAUAAAUAAGGCAUGGCAAAUAAGAUCAUAGAAAUAGAAGGGACCCAUGCCAUUUAGUCAAAUUUCUUUCAUUUUACAGACAAGGAAACUGAGACCCAGGGAAGUUAAGUGAUUUAUCCAAAGAUCAUACAGGUACUCAGAAUCAGAGGCAGGAUUUGAACUGUUGUCACUGAGGUCCUCUGAUUCCUGCCUUCCCUCUUGGGGCUCAUGGUAUAGAAAAGGGGAAUAAGAUUUGUGGAUGGUGGAGAAACAAUAUGGUGCCAGAAUGCCAAUGGGGAAGUAGAAGCCAGAUGCUCUACUCUUAUGUCUGUGAUUCAGAGAAGAGAAGAGAACCUUCCAUCAGGUACCUCCGGGAGGGAGAUAUUGGUAACUGCUGGAUGCAGAGUUGGCCCAGAGGUAAAGGAUGUGAGAUAGUAUCACAGGUGCUAGGGCAAGCGCGUGGAGGGUGGAACCAGACAUAAGUCAUUGUCUCAGUUCCGUUACAUCCAUGAAACCACUUCCAAAGUUGCCCCUGCCGGCAGCUGUCACAGACAAAGGCUGCAAACUGCCGGUGUCUCACCUUAUAAUUAAUCCAGCCAGCCUGUCUUGGGCUCUUGUUUGAUACCUCCCAGCUUCCGGAAAGGGGCCCUGCUUCUGGUGGGGAGCCAUCUGGUGAUGGUGGAGCUUUAUCACUGCAGAUAAUCCAUCCUCUUCUCCCUCCCCAGCCCAUGCUGGGUGCUGUCAGCUGGCUCUUGGGUCUUGCAGUGAGAGAGAGUUAAGUUUUCCUAGGCAUGUGAGUGCAAGCCAGUUUACCCAGGCAUUAGACAAAACCUGAGAAGGUAUGAAGUUGGUGUAAGGGGAGCUCCUAAAGGGUUUAUGGUGGAAUCUGUUCCUGCCUGGGCGGAAGAAUCUCAGCCUUUGCCUGACUGGUUGCCAUGAGAAGGAUCUGGCACUUGGGAGCCAGGUAACUGUAGCAGACACCCCGAGGCCCAGCCACACAAAGUAGACAUCAUGCCAGUAAGUGUCCUGCUGUACAAUCUUUGGCCGGGACCCUAAAGAGACCCUGCAAGAACCCUCACCUUCAUUUCUCAAAUGACAGCAUUCACUUGUGUGAAAUCAUGACCAAGAAAUUACAUUCUUUUUUUUUUUUAAACCCUUACUUUCCGUCUUGGAAUCAAUACUGUGUAUUGGCUCCAAGGCAGAAGAGUGGUAAGGGCUAGGCAAAGGGGGUCAAGUGACUUGCCCAGGGUCACACAGCUAGGAAGUGGCUGAGGCCAGAUUUGAACC